AGGCCAUAUCAUGUCGAAACACUGGUCCUCGUACGAUCACCGAAGUUAAACAAGGCUGAGCCUAGUCAGUACCUAGUUGGGAGAUCGCUUGCGAAUACCAGGUACUGUAAG